AGAACCUGAAACCGUGUGCUUACAAGUAGUCAGAGCCCGUUAAUGGGUGAUGGCGUGCCUUUUGUAGAAUGAACCGGCGAGUUACGAUUUGAUGCAAGGUUAAGCAGUAAAUGUGGAGCCGUAGCGAAAGCGAGUCUGAAUAGGGCGUUUAGUAUUUGGUCGUAGACCCGAAACCAGGUGAUCUACCCUUGGUCAGGUUGAAGUUCAGGUAACACUGAAUGGAGGACCGAACCGACUUACGUUGAAAAGUGAGCGGAUGAACUGAGGGUAGCGGAGAAAUUCCAAUCGAACCUGGAGAUAGCUGGUUCUCUCCGAAAUAGCUUUAGGGCUAGCCUCAAGUGAUGAUUAUUGGAGGUAGAGCACUGUUUGGACGAGGGGCCCCUCUCGGGUUACCGAAUUCAGACAAACUCCGAAUGCCAAUUAAUUUAACUUGGGAGUCAGAACAUGGGUGAUAAGGUCCGUGUUCGAAAGGGAAACAGCCCAGACCACCAGCUAAGGUCCCAAAAUAUAUGUUAAGUGGAAAAGGAUGUGGCGUUGCCCAGACAACUAGGAUGUUGGCUUAGAAGCAGCCAUCAUUUAAAGAGUGCGUAAUAGCUCACUAGUCGAGUGACACUGCGCCGAAAAUGUACCGGGGCUAAACAUAUUACCGAAGCUGUGGAUUGUCCUUUGGACAAUGGUAGGAGAGCGUUCUAAGGGCGUUGAAGCAUGAUCGCAAGGACAUGUGGAGCGCUUAGAAGUGAGAAUGCCGGUGUGAGUAGCGAAAGACGGGUGAGAAUCCCGUCCACCGAUUGACUAAGGUUUCCAGAGGAAGGCUCGUCCGCUCUGGGUUAGUCGGGUCCUAAGCUGAGGCCGACAGGCGUAGGCGAUGGAUAACAGGUUGAUAUUCCUGUACCACCUAUAAUCGUUUUAAUCGAUGGGGGGACGCAGUAGGAUAGGCGAAGCGUGCGAUUGGAUUGCACGUCUAAGCAGUAAGGCUGAGUAUUAGGCAAAUCCGGUACUCGUUAAGGCUGAGCUGUGAUGGGGAGAAGACAUUGUGUCUUCGAGUCGUUGAUUUCACACUGCCGAGAAAAGCCUCUAGAUAGAAAAUAGGUGCCCGUACCGCAAACCGACACAGGUAGUCAAGAUGAGAAUUCUAAGGUGAGCGAGCGAACUCUCGUUAAGGAACUCGGCAAAAUGACCCCGUAACUUCGGGAGAAGGGGUGCUCUUUAGGGUUAACGCCCAGAAGAGCCGCAGUGAAUAGGCCCAAGCGACUGUUUAUCAAAAACACAGGUCUCUGCUAAACCGUAAGGUGAUGUAUAGGGGCUGACGCCUGCCCGGUGCUGGAAGGUUAAGAGGAGUGGUUAGCUUCUGCGAAGCUACGAAUCGAAGCCCCAGUAAACGGCGGCCGUAACUAUAACGGUCCUAAGGUAGCGAAAUUCCUUGUCGGGUAAGUUCCGACCCGCACGAAAGGCGUAACGAUUUGGGCACUGUCUCAACGAGAGACUCGGUGAAAUCAUAGUACCUGUGAAGAUGCAGGUUACCCGCGACAGGACGGAAAGACCCCGUGGAGCUUUACUGUAGCCUGAUAUUGAAAUUCGGCACAGCUUGUACAGGAUAGGUAGGAGCCUUUGAAACGUGAGCGCUAGCUUACGUGGAGGCGCUGGUGGGAUACUACCCUAGCUGUGUUGGCUUUCUAACCCGCACCACUUAUCGUGGUGGGAGACAGUGUCAGGCGGGCAGUUUGACUGGGGCGGUCGCCUCCUAAAAGGUAACGGAGGCGCUCAAAGGUUCCCUCAGAAUGGUUGGAAAUCAUUCAUAGAGUGUAAAGGCAUAAGGGAGCUUGACUGCGAGACCUACAAGUCGAGCAGGGUCGAAAGACGGACUUAGUGAUCCGGUGGUUCCGCAUGGAAGGGCCAUCGCUCAACGGAUAAAAGCUACCCCGGGGAUAACAGGCUUAUCUCCCCCAAGAGUUCACAUCGACGGGGAGGUUUGGCACCUCGAUGUCGGCUCAUCGCAUCCUGGGGCUGUAGUCGGUCCCAAGGGUUGGGCUGUUCGCCCAUUAAAGCGGUACGCGAGCUGGGUUCAGAACGUCGUGAGACAGUUCGGUCCCUAUCCGUCGUGGGCGUAGGAAAUUUGAGAGGAGCUGUCCUUAGUACGAGAGGACCGGGAUGGACAUACCUCUGGUGUACCAGUUGUCGUGCCAACGGCAUAGCUGGGUAGCUAUGUGUGGACGGGAUAAGUGCUGAAAGCAUCUAAGCAUGAAGCCCCCCUCAAGAUGAGAUUUCCCAACUUCGGUUAUAAGAUCCCUCAAAGAUGAUGAGGUUAAUAGGUUCGAGGUGGAAGCAUGGUGACAUGUGGAGCUGACGAAUACUAAUCGAUCGAAGACUUAAUCAA
rnacentral:rRNA from 1 species